GUCUGCAGUCAUGCUAACCUGAACAAGCCCUAUCCCAUAUGAUCUUGGAAGGUAAGCAGAGUCGAGCCUAGUUAGUAUUUGCAUGGGAGACCACCUAGGAAGACCAGGUGCUAUAGAAG
ensembl:rRNA 5S_rRNA 5S ribosomal RNA